UUUAUGGAGAGUUUGAUCCUGGCUCAGGAUGAACGCUGGCGGCGUGCCUAAUACAUGCAAGUCGAGCGAACGGACGAGAAGCUUGCUUCUCUGAUGUUAGCGGCGGACGGGUGAGUAACACGUGGAUAACCUACCUAUAAGACUGGGAUAACUUCAGGAAACCGGAGCUAAUACCGGAUAAUAUUU
rnacentral:rRNA from 1 species